rnacentral:rRNA from 1 species
AACGAACGCUGGCGGCAGGCUUAACACAUGCAAGUCGAACGCAUCCUUCGGGGUGAGUGGCAGACGGGUGAGUAACGCGUGGGAAUCUACCCAUCCCUACGGAACAACUCCGGGAAACUGGAGCUAAUACCGUAUACGCCCUUAGGGGGAAAGAUUUAUCGGGGUAUGAUGAGCCCGCGUUGGAUUAGCUAGUUGGUGGGAUAAAGGCCUACCAAGGCGACGAUCCAUAGCUGGUCUGAGAGGAUGAUCAGCCACAUUGGGACUGAGACACGGCCCAAACUCCUACGGGAGGCAGCAGUGGGGAAUAUUGGACAAUGGGCGCAAGCCUGAUCCAGCCAUGCCGCGUGAGUGAUGAAGGUCUUAGGAUUGUAAAGCUCUUUCACCGAUGAAGAUAAUGACGGUAGUCGGAGAAGAAGCCCCGGCAAACUUCGUGCCAGCCGCCGCGGUAACAC